GGUGCAGCAGGCGCGAAACCUUUACACUGCACGCAAGUGCGAUAAGGGGACCCCAAGUGCGAGGGCAUAUAGUCCUCGCUUUUCACGACUGUAAGGCGGUCGUGGAAUAAGAGCUGGGCAAGACCGGUGCCAGCCGCCGCGGUAAUACCGGCAGCUCAAGUGAUGACCGAUAUUAUUGGGCCUAAAGCGUCCGUAGCCGGCCACGAAGGUUCAUCGGGAAAUCCGCCAGCUCAACUGGCGGGCGUCCGGUGAAAACCACGUGGCUUGGGACCGGAAGGCUCGAGGGGUACGUCCGGGGUAGGAGUGAAAUCCCGUAAUCCUGGACGGACCACCGAUGGCGAAAGCACCUCGAGAAGACGGAUCCGACGGUGAGGGACGAAAGCUAGGGUCUCGAACCGGAUUAGAUACCCGGGUAGUCCUAGCUGUAAACGAUGCUCGCUAGGUGUGACACAGGCUACGAGCCUGUGUUGUGCCGUAGGGAAGCCGAGAAGCGAGCC
rnacentral:rRNA from 1 species